rnacentral:rRNA from 1 species
GGACCCGCACAAGCGGUGGAGCAUGUGGUUUAAUUCGAUGCAACGCGAAGAACCUUACCUGGUCUUGACAUCCUGCGAACUUUCUAGAGAUAGAUUGGUGCCUUCGGGAACGCAGUGACAGGUGCUGCACGGCUGUCGUCAGCUCGUGUUGUGAAAUGUUGGUUAAGUCCCGCAACGAGCGCAACCCCUAUUGAUAGUUACCAUCAUUAAGUUGGGUACUCUAUUGAGACUGCCGCUGACAAGGCGGAGGAAGGUGGGGACGACGUCAAGUCAUCAUGGCCCUUACGACCAGGGCUACACACGUGCUACAAUGGGUAUUACAGAGGGCUGCGAAGGUGCGAGCUGGAGCGAA